GGACUACUAGGGUAUCUAAUCCCGUUUGCUCCCCUGGCUUUCGUGUCUCAGCGUCAGCACACCCCCAGCGAGCUGUUUUCACCAUUGGCGUUCCAAAUGAUAUCUACGCAUUUCACCGCUCCACCAUUUGUUCCGCUCGCCCCUAGGUGGCUCAAGACCGGCAGUAUACCGAGCAGUUCCACGGUUAAGCCGUGGGAUUUCACAAGGUACUUACCAGUCCGCCUACACACGCUUUAAGCCCAGUGAUUCCGCCUAACGCUUGGCACCUCUGUCUUACCGCGGCGGCUGGCAC
rnacentral:rRNA from 1 species